AAGCUUACCUGACAGGGGAGACACCUUGAUCAUGAAGGAGGUUUUCCCAGGGUGAGGCUCAUCUAUUGCACUUUGGGUGUGCUGACCCCUGUGAUUUCCCCAAAAGUUUGUAAUUGACCACCUAGGGGCCUUGUGUGGCGCAGAGUGGUAAGCAGCAGUUAC